rnacentral:pre_miRNA from 1 species
GCAGUGCUUUAGCAGCACGUAAAUAUUGGUGUUAAAUUCUAAGUUAUCUCCAGUAUUGACUGUGCUGCUGAAGUAAGGU